rnacentral:tRNA from 1 species
UUUUUAUAGUAUAGCUAUUACGUUAGUUUUUCAAACUAAAGACGGAAAUAUUAAUCCUGGC